CCCCCCUUCUUAUCUUCACUUCCCCUUUCCUCACCCUACACUGACUACAAGCAAAUGUUGAAUGGAAAUGUACAUUUUCUUUCAACUUUCACGUCAGACGAUCAAAAUCCAGCAUAGAAAAAAACUUAAAAUAAAUAAAUCUCACUGAGCAUGUAUAAGGGAAAAAAAGCCUUCAGCCUUCUCUCCUGAAUCGAGUAUCACUGCAGCCUCAUCGUAAAUCUACUCAGCCAAUAAGCUGUGUUGUCCUCAAGAGGAACCGCUAGCUUCUUAGCUAGCAUCAGCACAAGAGCUAAUCUUGUAUGACAGCUCAAGAGGAAAAAACUAAUGCAAAUAUACACCGACAAAGCCAACACUCAGACCACAAAUGAUCAGGCGCACCGUUGACCUCCUUGGCUAUCUGGGCCAGUUUGAUCUUCUUGAAGUCGUCCUGCGUGAGGAGCCGGCUGCCGCUUAUCGCCGCAGCCUUGGCUUCCCGCUCUUCAACUGACCUUAAACCUACCACUUCUGCCGUAUCUUCGUCGGACGUGUGGUGGACGUCCACCCACUCCCCAUCCUCGUCCUGGUCACUCACGCUGGCGCUCUCCCAACCGUCUGUUAUGACAAAUGUCCUUUAUUAGCCUGAUCGAUGGAUUAAAGAUGACUGAUUAAUUAUC